AGAGAGAAAGUUGAGUGGAAGAUGAGUGAUUUGAAAAACAGAGGAAGAAUCCUCAACCGAUGGCGACUCUCCACUCAAGGCGGUGCACAGCACCCAAAGGCGUAGCACAUUGCCCGAGGCGACAGUGCGCCUCCCCAGGCCGGCCGCAUGCUACAGGCCUAGCCUGUAAGCACCAAGCUAUCCUGCCACGCGCAAGGCCUACAGCUCACAGGGCGCUAUACGCAGGCCUACCACGCGGAUGACGCGUGCACAGGCCGCAUGGUGCCUUGCCUUGUCCACGCACGAUGUGACGCGCGCAAAGUGGCCUAU
rnacentral:lncRNA from 1 species